AACAUUAUAUCUGGAAUGGUUUAUGUUCCAAAUGAUUUAUCGCCGUAGGAUGGGACUGCGGCCUAUCAGUUUGUUGGUGAGGUAAUGGCCCACCAAGACUAUUACAGGUACGGGCUCUGAGAGGAGUAGCCCGGAGAUGGGUACUGAGACACGGACCCAGGCCCUAUGGGGCGCAGCAGGCGAGAAAACUUUGCAAUGUGCGAAAGCACGACAAGGUUAAUCCGAGUGGUUUGUGCUAAACGAACCUUUUGUCAGUCCUAGAAACACUAACGAAUAAGGGGUGGGCAAGUUCUGGUGUCAGCCGCCGCGGUAAAACCAGCACCUCAAGUGGUCAGGAUGAUUAUUGGGCCUAAAGCAUCCGUAGCCGGCUCUGUAAGUUUUCGGUUAAAUCUGUACGCUCAACGUACAGGCUGCCGGGAAUACUGCAGAGCUAGGGAGUGGGAGAGGUAGACGGUACUCGAUAGGAAGGGGUAAAAUCCUUUGAUCUAUUGAUGACCACCUGUGGCGAAGGCGGUCUACCAGAACACGUCCGACGGUGAGGGAUGAAAGCUGGGGGAGCAAACCGGAUUAGAUACCCGGGUAGUCCCAGCUGUAAACUAUGCAAACUCAGUGAUGCAUUGGCUUGUGGCCAAUGCAGUGC
rnacentral:rRNA from 1 species